rnacentral:tRNA from 1 species
GGUGGCUCAGUGGUAGAGUGCUUGCCUUGCAUGCAUGAGAUUCUGGGUUCAAUUCCUCAGUACCA